AAGCAUUCUAGUUUGCACAACUCCACCGACGUGACCGGGCCAAGACUGCAAAUUUAGGGUUAGGGUUAGAAAUGGAUUUGAGAGUUAGACGCAGACGGAGAAAAAGACGGAAGGGCAAUGGAAGAACCAAAAUCAGAAGCAGCUUGAAUAUAUAUAAUUUUCCACCAUGCCUAAAAAGAGUGUUGGGUCAACUUGAGAGGAUUGCCAAACAGGGAAAUGACCAACCAACUGUAUAUGGCGAUCUCGGGUUGAUUGACAAUGCCUAUGAUCUUGCCUCAUUUAUUUCCAAGCAAUGGGGAAUGGGAAAAUCGACCUUCAUCGUACAGGAUAUGGUGGAAAAUGAGGUUUUUGCACUUACCAUGGAAGAGGAGGCUAAACCCAACAAUGCACUAUUUGUCUCCACUAGGUUAGCAUUGAGCUAUAAGGUUACUGAUGCUGUCAUGCUUUCCUAUAGCAAAAAAGUCUUGGUGAUGCAUAAAAAUUUAAAUCUAAAAAUUACUAAGGAAGUCAUUUGAUACAUUUUACCAAGAACAUGGUUAAAUUAUGAGGCAAUAAACUUUUAUUUGGAACUGUUAAAUGAGAGGGGAAAAAGAGAAGCCACACGAUUCUUGAAAUGCCACUUCUUUAGAACAUUCUUUAGAAGCUUGCUCGCUUUGAUUGGGGAGUAUUCAAGUAUUGCUGAUUUCCAUAGUCGUGAAAUUCCACCGAAUUUCACACAGGCAAACAUCUUGUACUAUGUAAGAGAAUAUCAAAUGACGAGCAGAGUAAAAGGCAGACAUCCUGUACCAUGUAAGAGAAUAUCAAAUGAUGAGCAGAGUGAAAGAUGAGCAUUUGUAGAGUGAAAGGCAGACACCCUGUACUAUCUAUGUUAGAGAACAUCAAAUGACGAGCAGAGUGAAAGAUGAGCAUUUGUAGAUUACAUGAGUGACAAAUUACACUAAAGACUACAUGACUUUGUGCAUUUGAAAUAGUAUCAGAAAAUCUUAGCAGUUGUGGGUUACAUGAUAGUUUAGAAAGCAAUUAUUUUGUCAGAAACUAUGACAGAAACAUGGCCAAAGCUAUCCAAGUCAAGGGGCAGUUUAAGGAAUCAGGAAAACAACGAACUCGAACAGACCUGUUGAAAGAGAAAUCAAAUUUAAUUUGUACUGUUCAAGUCUCUUGACUUUUCACUUACUUAUCCUUUGCAGUUAACAUCUGCUAAGCUUGAUAUCUGGUAUCCAUCAGGAAGUUUGAUAGCUGAGAUAUUUAAGCAACAAUUAAAAGAACAUGGUGCAGGAGCUCCAACAACUAAAUUAUUGUCUUAAAACAGAGGACCAGUUUGUAAAUCUUUUCCUAGUGUCAAAUAAAGCAAUUUCCUUGGCAAUUUUAUAAGAAAAAUUUGUAUAUAUUGUAAGGCAGAAAUUCAGUAUAAUGAGCUUUAUAGUCCAGAGCAUACAAGGUACGUACAUUCUGUUUACAAUGCAUCCAUACCUUUACGGACUAUAUUUUGUUAACCUAGAAACCUGGCCAAUCUAGCUUGGGGAUUUGGGAAAGACUUUGAGUUCGGGAUUGUUAUGAACAUGUGAAAAGCUUUUGAAGGCAAUGAGGUUGGGUUUCUCUCGGAAUUUGUGCCAAUUCAACUGGCAAAAGGAUUUCAUUUCAAUUUUAGCGAAGCAACUGUUGAGGCUGAAUGAUUUUGGAGAGCAGACUCAUGGAGCUUUUCUUGCCUUUCAUAUGGGUUGAACAGUAGGAAAACUAUUCUUGAUUGUAUUGUUUGACCCAUAUCGGCAACACAAAAUAUCCAUCUCUCUUUAUUUCUCAAAAGGACCCUUAAUGCAACAAGUAGAUUAUUGUCAACCUAUAUUGGCCAAACUGGUUUUGAUGCCACUAUGAAGAGAUAAUACUAAUUUAAUAUAAUGUCUUGGCUAUGUAGCAUUUUCCAUUCCUUGAUAAAAGGACAAGCCUUUCUUUAUCCUAGAUUUUAAUUGAUUGAACUCAAACGAGAUAGCAUUUAUUCAGAUCGUUGACAGCCAAGAAAUGAUCACGUAAUGAUAUUGACUGUUUGAGCGGCUUGUACAUGGACCAAAUUGACCAAACCCU